rnacentral:lncRNA from 10 species
CAAGCUUUGAGUGAGGUAAAAAUUUUCAUAUACAGCUAAAUGUUGACUGCCUUAUGGUUGCUCUAUAAGGCUCACAGAUAAUACUGUAGCAGGGAUAAGCUUAAACGUGCAAGAAUUUUUUUUCUGUAACUGAAACUUAUUUGUAUUCAAAGCCCCCAUUUAGCUGCAGUGACAAAAAUCUUAUCAGUGGGAGUCCUCUCCAUCAGAAAGUCAGAAACAUUGACUGAAGCAUAGUCAUCAGUGGGCUGCGGAUUCUCCAAGGCUCCUCUGCACAGCCUCUGCCCUGGAGGUAGUGGGAGGGCAUUCCCAAACAGUCUCUCCUUCCCCUGAAGUGGGGAAGGAGGGUACAUGAGUCUCAUUCUAAUUCCUCCUCUCUUAUUCUUGAUUUUGUUUUUCUUUUUUGCCUUAGAUGAUGGUACUCCUUCCAGCCCAGGAUUUUUGCUUCAGAGGCACCUGCCGCAACUCAUUUUUGCAGGUGAAGAGUUUGAGGCUUCAGAUGAGAUACAUAUCUUGGUACGAUAUCUUGGUAUUUGUGAGUCAGAACACUUCCAUCAGUUGUUGCACGUGGGCCUUUGAAGUAGGCGAAAAUCAUCUGACAUUCAUUUCAUCUUUCACAUGGAAAAUCUCUGAUCACGAGAGCACUGAGCAAGCUUGCAACAGCAAAAGCAACAGAAAUAACAACACUUGCAAUACACUUCAAACAACUAUGUUGGAGCCCUUUGUGCGCCCUGAGCCCCAUUGCUUUAAAGGAAGGAGAGGAAGGGACCCACUCUAG